rnacentral:rRNA from 1 species
AUUGAACGCUGGCGGAAUGCUUUACACAUGCAAGUCGAGCGGCAGCGCGGGGCAACCUGGCGGCGAGCGGCGAACGGGUGAGUAAUGCAUCGGAACGUACCCCGUCGUGGGGGAUAACUACCCGAAAGGGUAGCUAAUACCGCAUACGACCUGAGGGUGAAAGCGGGGGACCGAAAGGCCUCGCGCGAUGGGAGCGGCCGAUGCCGGAUUAGCUAGUUGGUAGGGUAAAGGCCUACCAAGGCGACGAUCCGUAGCUGGUCUGAGAGGACGACCAGCCACACUGGAACUGAGACACGGUCCAGACUCCUACGGGAGGCAGCAGUGGGGAAUUUUGGACAAUGGGCGCAAGCCUGAUCCAGCCAUGCCGCGUGUGUGAAGAAGGCCUUCGGGUUGUAAACUGCUUUUGUACGGAACGAAACGGCUCUUUCUAAUAAAGGGAGCUAAUGACGGUACCGUAAGAAUAAGCACCGGCUAACUACGUG